GUGGGGAAUAUUGGGCAAUGGGCGCAAGCCUGACCCAGCAACGCCGCGUGAAGGAAUAAGGCUUUCGGGUUGUAAACUUCUUUUACCAGGGACGAAACAAAUGACGGUACCUGGUGAAUAAGCCACGGCUAACUACGUGCCAGCAGCCGCGGUAAUACGUAGGUGGCGAGCGUUAUCCGGAUUUAUUGGGUGUAAAGGGCGUGUAGGCGGGACAGCAAGUCAGAUGUGAAAACCAGAGGCUCAACCUCUGGCCUGCAUUUGAAACUGUUGUUCUUGAGUGUCGGAGAGGUAAUCGGAAUUCCGUGUGUAGCGGUGAAAUGCGUAGAUAUACGGAGGAACACCAGUGGCGAAGGCGGAUUACUGGACAUUAACCGACGCUGAUGCGCGAAAGCGUGGGGAGCAAACAGGAUUAGAAACCCCAGUAGUCC
rnacentral:rRNA from 1 species